AAGUGGGGGCCUGUCUAUACAUGGCAGUCGAACGGAGAUAUUCGCUGAUGAAGUACUUCGGUAAUGAAUCUUGGAUAUCUUAGUGGCGGACGGGUGAGUAACGCGUGAGCAACCUGCCUUUCAGAGGGGGAUAACGUUUGGAAACGAACGCUAAUACCGCAUGACACGGUGUGAAAAACCACGGUGGUACAGGAUGGGCUCGCGUCCGAUUAGGUAGUUGGUGGGGUAACGGCCCACCAAGCCGACGAUCGGUAGCCGGACUGAGAGGUUGGACGGCCACAUUGGGACUGAGACACGGCCCAGACUCCUACGGGAGGCAGCAGUAAGGGAUAUUGGUCAAUGGGGGAAACCCUGAACCAGCAACGCCGCGUGAGGGAAGACGGUUUUCGGAUUGUAAACCUCUGUCCUCUGUGAAGAUGAUGACGGUAGCAGAGGAGGAAGCUCCGGCUAACUACGUGCCAGCAGCCGCGGUAAUACGUAGGGAGCGAGCGUUGUCCGGAUUUACUGGGUGUAAAGGGUGCGUAGGCGGCUUGGCAAGUCAGUAGUGAAAUCCAUGGGCUUAACCCAUGAACUGCUAUUGAAACUGCCGAGCUUGAGUGAAGUAGAGGUAGGCGGAAUUCCCGGUGUAGCGGUGAAAUGCGUAGAGAUCGGGAGGAACACCAGUGGCGAAGGCGGCCUACUGGGCUUUANCUGACGCUGAGGCACGAAAGCGUGGGUAGCAAACAGGAUUAGAUACCCUGNUAGUCCACG
rnacentral:rRNA from 1 species